CAAAAAACAUUUUAAAAUGAAACAUGUUUAAAACAUUUUUAAAGUGUUAGAAAAUAAACCAUUUAAAACCUAAAUGUUAAAUAAAUGUUUUAUAAACAUGUAAAAGUUAACGUCUUUCACUGCGCGCGUCAUAAGCCCGCUGAUGACGAAAUUUUUUAAAACACCUCCAAAUUUUAUUUGCGUACCUUUGCGGCGUAGAUACUGAUAAUCCUCACAAAAAACAUUUUAAAUACUUUGUUAUAUAUUUUCUUAUCACUAGGUUUGAUAUUCUAAAAUCAUUCGCAGUUUAUAAAACAUCUAUGCUACGUAACUAAAUAUUUCCUAUUCUCCUUAAUGCGUGUACUCCCAUGAUUCCACGCGGCGCGAAAUUUUGUCUGCUGCUUACGACACGCGUGCUUUGCUAAAAACAUUGGGUUGUAAAACUCUUAUAUACCGUGUUCUAGUACAACACAGACUUAAUGUAUGCUUUUAGGUGUGAUUUGUCAAACAAAGUUUUCGUUUUGAAUAGUGCGCUCGUACAUAAUCUAAGACGUUAAGGCAACUGAUGUCCAAAUCAUGUCGUACUACUGGACGAAGCGGAGUAAAUAAAAUUGUUGAAGCAGAGUUGGCGGAACAGAAAGAAAAAGACAGAUCCGAUACAAACAAUGGAGUGUGAAUGCACUAACCACCAGAAUAUUGGCAUCAUCACGAGAGCACCCCAUUGAUGCUCUGCAAGGAGAACAAGAAGAGACAAACCUCAAACUGCAGCAGUAGAAGGCAGUAUCCAGGGAGUGUCUAACACAGAUCAGAAGCCUCUCUUGUGUGGGUGGUACGGAUGCAAAGGAUUGCCUGAAAAGGAUCAUGCGGCGAAUCUUGGCCGACAAGGUUUUAUAACUAAAGGCCAAAGAGGAGAAAAGUGUGCAUUCAAGGGGCUUUCAAAGGUGCAGACCAUGAUAUGCAAAGCCGUACAGAAGAACAAUGGGUGCAUGGAGGCUUCAGAUAAUAUCAUCGAAGAAAGCAGCAGCAGAAAGAGUCGGGGUAGAAAGCAGAGGAGAGAACGAAACUAAAUGCUAGCAUAUUUCAAGGAAGUGACAACUGUGUUUCUGUGCCCUGUGAAUUUACUGGAAUAUUAUGGCAGAAUUGUGUAGCUACGUUUCCUCGUUGGGAUUUGGCAAAAAGAGACUUCCAAGAAAUUGAAAGUAAAAACUGUGACAUUGUUAUUAUCCUCAUCUUCAAUUAAGGCCAGGCACCUGAGGUAAAAACUUUUUAAGUUAUUUAAAUAUGGCAGAUAGGCAUCAAAAUUAACUCUUUGAUUAUUUAUUACUAGUAAUACAUGUAUCUCAGAAAAUAGAGAAGACCGAAGAUUCAUAAAUAAUACCUCUUUCCGACCGUACAUAAGAAAACCUAAAGCAUUGAUGACGAUCACUUAGGUCCUUACAAAUGCAUGAAAGGUCCUUACCUGGCACCAUCCCUGAUUCCUGGGAACCCUGGAGAAGUGCAGCACCAACACGAUAUCCCUAUUCUUAGUUAUCAUAGGACAAACUGAUCAUGUUCUAAAUAAAUUUCUUAAAGCCUCUUUACAAGAAGUACAUGAACCUUGUUCAGCUUUGCUUUACAGAGUUUUGUAACACUAAAAAGCCUGGUUAAUUGGAAUGAUAUGUCUAUUGUAUAAGGAUAGAGAUUUGAAUGUUGUUAUCUACAGAUGGAUAUAACCAUAUUUUUGUGUAUUUUGUGCAUCAUUCAAAUGUACAUUUGCAUUUCACUCUUUUUUAUAGUAAAUCUAAAGUUCUAUUUAAUUUUAGUUUAAUUAUUCCUUGCGACUCCCAAUGGAGCACGGGGCCCCAACAUCUCUCCUUUAAUCAUUUGAAAUUGAAAUAUUUAAAAGUCUGUUCAUUUAAGAAAAUUCCUUUGCUUUCAUUUAUCACUGUUUAAUUAAUUCCUAUACUUUUCUCUUUUUUCUUU
rnacentral:lncRNA from 1 species